rnacentral:lncRNA from 1 species
AUGCGUUACUGUGAAUUAUUCCCAUUCUGGCAGCACGCAGAGCCCACGGGACGGCAACCGCGGGCCCCAGAGAAUGGGGGACAGCCCGGAGACGGAAGGUCGUGCCCCUCAGCUCUCAAACCCAGGUCUUUUUUUCUUCCUUGCAGUCCUUGUGACCCGGGAGGACGAGUUCAACAACCGCCUGAACGUCCGCGCCAGCUUCCGUGGCUGCACAGCCCUGCACUACGCCGUGCUGGCCGACGACUACCUGAGCGUCAGGAUGCUGCUGGAGGCAGGUGGCACCUCCCUGCAGAAGGCAAAACUCUCCAGAUUUCUCUCCUAGGCUUGAUCCCUACAGGUUGGCACUACCAAAACAUCAGCAAACAGCCAUCCAGCAAGAGAUGGGGCGCCUGGAAGGCUCCCUUCGGGGAGAUGUGCUCACCUCCCCAUGGCAGGCACAUUUGUCAGCAUGUGAAGAAUGAUGCUGUUGGCAGGAUGAAGGUUCUGGAGUCUGUACCACUUGUCAUUCAUGGGCACAGACCUGUUCCCAAAUCUUGGAUGCCCCAUCCAUCCCUGGAGGUGUUCAAGGCCAGGUUGGAUGGGGCCCUGGGCAGCCUGGGCUGCUAUGAAAUGUGGAGGUUGAUGGCCCUGCAUGUGGCAGGGGGGUUGGAGAUUCAUCAUCCUUGAAGUCCCUUCCAACCUGGGCCAUUCUGUGAUUCUGUGAUUCUGCGGCGGGUGCCAGUGAAAAGUCACCCAUCCAAGCCAUUGCACGUGUGCAGGUGUGCAGAAAUGAAGAUGCUGGAGCCUUGCAGCACGAAAGGACUCACACUGAGCAUCAACCAGCUCCAACUCCUCUCUAUUAAGAGAAAACGAGCACUGCCUGCAGAGCAACUCCCCGAUACAGUGACUCACCAUCCCUUAUGCUACGCUUCUUAUUUACACUCCCCAGCACUAAUGUUGUCAUACUUAACAGCUCACAAGGUACUAUCUCAUCUUCUAAAUAUACACCCCAUUGUACUGCCCAGACUCCCUUCGUUAUAUCAUGAGUUGACUGCAGGCAUCAAUCACGGAGCUGAUAAACAGAAAUGGCCCUAAUGUCAUUUCAUGGGCUGCAAAGAGUCAGAUCGCAGCUGUGCUGGAGCCAGAUGGAAGAGGGAGUGUGGUGUAGAGUGCUGCUCCGUUAAAUAUAUGUGACAUUUAAUUAUGGUUGCAAUAGGUUCUCUCUCAUUUAGGGUAACUGGAGACUGGAUUCUGCAAAUAAGAGGGGAAAAAAAUAGGUAGUGCAGAUAGUACACAAUCUGCUGCUUCCAGACCCAGCCCAGACAUCCACUGGUGCAUUCCGCAGCAUGCUCUGAUCCUGGAGGAUUUAUUGUCUCAAAAGCAGCACCAUGCAAACACAAGGAGCUGCAGGGGUUGGCCCCAAGUGGGGUGAGCUGCCCACUGCCAACAGAGAGUCGAGGAUGCUGUAGUUACCUCGGUUGUUGCAGUGCUGCAGAGGUUCAUCAGGACCGGAUCCUGCUGCUGAGUGUUGGGAUGGGAAAGCAGUGCUGCUGUCAGGGACAGGCAAUGUCUCAGCUGGAUGGAGGUGGGAUCUACAGCCAAGUGAAGGCUGCUCUGGUCAGUGGUGGGAGCUCUGGUCAUACAUCCUUGAGAACCCAACUGUCAGGACACCAGAAGGCAUCAUAGGUUGGGGUUCAACCACGCGUGUCUCAGAAGAGGUCAAAGACUCAAAGAUGUGUCUGCACUGAAGGCUUUGCAGAAAAGGAAAGGAAAGCAUGAAAAUAAACCAAAACCAAAACAAAAACAAAGAACAAAACAAAAACCCACAAAAACAGAGAGUGUUCUCUUGGCAUGUGGUCAUAGCCACCAUCUCCUGGGUCAAGCUGAGCAGGGUUUUCCAUGCUGGAGAAGCAAUGAUAUGGAGAGCAGGGCUUGGACAACAAGGGGUCUUAAAUUAAGAAGAAGCAGAUCAUGGGGCUUUGGCGAGGCAGAGCAGCCAAAGUAGAGCUUUGGGAAUGGUGCAGCAGGGUCAGGGGUUGGCUCAGGCAUGAUGUACCCUGAUUGCUGUUACGAUUCAGUGCAGGAUGAUCAGGCCUGGACACAUCUCCAAAUGGUGAGUGAAGAGGUUGCAAAGAAGGAAUGUGGGAUGAGAACUCAACUACUUUGUGGUCUGGCAC